CGAAGGCUUACGUAGGUCACCUUCGGAGGAUCAUUAUCGAGUAUUGACCGGGUUGUAGCUGGCCUUCUGAGGCAUGUGCACGCCCUGUUCAUCCACUUUACACCUGUGCACUUACUGUGGGCUUCAGAUUGCGAGGCACGCUCUUUACCGGGCUUGCGGAGCAUAUCUGUGCCUGCGUUUAUCACAAACUCUAUAAAGUAACAGAAUGUGUAUUGCGAUGUAACACAUCUAUAUACAACUUUCAGCAACGGAUCUCUUGGCUCUCGCAUCGAUGAAGAACGCAGCGAAAUGCGAUAAGUAAUGUGAAUUGCAGAAUUCCGUGAAUCAUCGAAUCUUUGAACGCACCUUGCGCUCCUUGGUAUUCCGAGGAGCAUGCCUGUUUGAGUGUCAUGAAAUCUUCAACCUACAAGCUUUUGUGGUUUGUAGGCUUGGACUUGGAGGCUUGUCGGCCGUUAUCGGUCGGCUCCUCUUAAAUGCAUUAGCUUGGUUCCUUGCGGAUCGGCUCUCGGUGUGAUAAUGUCUACGCCGUGACCGUGAAGCGUUUGGCGAGCUUCUAACCGUCUUAUAAGACAGCUUUAUGACCUCUGACCUCAAAUCAGGUAGGACUACCCGCUGAACUUAAGCAUAUCAAUAAGCGGAGGA
rnacentral:rRNA from 1 species